CACGUAGGCGGAUAUUUAAGUCAGGGGUGAAAUCCCCGGGCUCAACCUGGGAACUGCAUUUGUGACUGCAUGGCUAGAGUACGGUAGAGGGGGAUGGAAUUCCGCGUGUAGCAGUGAAAUGCGUAGAUAUGCGGAGGAACACCGAUGGCGAAGGCAAUCCCCUGGACCUGUACUGACGCUCAUGCACGAAAGCGUGGGGAGCAAACA
rnacentral:rRNA from 1 species